rnacentral:tRNA from 1 species
GAAGGGAUAGCUCAGUGGCAGAGUGCCUGCUUAGCAUGCACAAGGUCCUGGGGUUCAAUCCCCAGCACCUCCA